AGCGCAGUGAGACAGCGUUGCUGGAGGCAACGACCCGGAGGGCGAGGCAGCGCCGAGUCAUCCUGCACGACCCACCA
rnacentral:sRNA from 1 species